rnacentral:rRNA from 1 species
AACGAACGCUGGCGGCAUGCCUAACACAUGCAAGUCGAACGAGACCUUCGGGUCUAGUGGCGCACGGGUGCGUAACGCGUGGGAACCUGCCCUUAGGUUCGGAAUAACUCCCCGAAAGGGGUGCUAAUACCGGAUAAUGUCUUCGGGCCAAAGAUUUAUCGCCUUUGGAUGGGCCCGCGUUGGAUUCGCUAGUUGGUAGGGUAAAAGCCUACCAAGGCGACGAUCCAUAGCUGGUCUGAGAGGAUGAUCAGCCACACUGGGACUGAGACACGGCCCAGACUCCUACGGGAGGCAGCAGUGGGGAAUAUUGGACAAUGGGCGAAAGCCUGAUCCAGCAAUGCCGCGUGAGUGAUGAAGGCCUUAGGGUUGUAAAGCUCUUUUACCCGGGAUGAUAAUGACAGUACCGGGAGAAUAAGCUCCGGCUAACUCCGUG